rnacentral:rRNA from 1 species
UAUAUUAAAGUUGUUGCGGUUAAAAAGCUCGUAGUUGGAGUUCUGCCAGGUGCCGCCUGUCCGCCCCAGUGGUGAGUACGUGGCGCGCAUUUGGCCCUUUCAAGGGGAGCGUAUUGCACUUAACUGUGUGGUGCGGGAUCCUUGACUUUUACUUUGAGGAAAUAAGAGUGUUCCAAGCAGGCUCUCGUCGUGCAUAGCUCAGCAUGGAAUAAUAGCAUUGGAUCUCGAUUCCAAACUGUUGGUUGUAGGAAACGAGAUAAUGAUGAAGAGGGAUAGUUGGGGGCAUUCGUAUUUAACUGUCAGAGGUGAAAUUCUUGGAUUUGUUAAAGACGAACUACUGCGAAAGCAUCUGCCAUGGAUGUUUUCAUUGAUCAAGAACGAAAGUUAGGGGAUCGAAGACGAUCAGAUACCGUCCUAGUCUUAACUAUAAACCAUGCCGGCUAGAGAUCGGAGGUUGUUCGUUUUGUGACGCCUUCAGCAUCUUGAGAGAAAUCAAAGCCUUUGGGUUCCGGGGGGAGUAUGGUCGCAAGGCUGAAACUUAAAGGAAUUG